GUAUGGCUGGCGAUAGAUCAUUCAAGUUUCUGACCUAUCAGCUUUCGACGGUAGUGUAUUGGACUACCGUGGCAGUGACGGGUAACGGGGAAUUAGGGUUCGAUUCCGGAGAGGGAGCCUGAGAAACGGCUACCACAUCUAAGGAAGGCAGCAGGCGCGCAAAUUACCCAAUCCUGACUCAGGGAGGUAGUGACAAGAAAUAACAACACUGGAAAUUUUAUUUCUAGUGAUUGGAAUGAUGGGAAUUUAAACCCCUUUCAGAGUAACAAUUGGAGGGCAAGUCUGGUGCCAGCAGCCGCGGUAAUUCCAGCUCCAAUAGCGUAUAUUAAAGUUGUUGCAGUUAAAAAGCUCGUAGUUGGAUGUCUGCUGGAAGCAAUCAGUCCGCCCUAUUUGUAGGGUGUGCACUUGAUGAAUUCUGGCAUUUUUGUCCCAAUGAUGUAACGGGGCGGUGGUAUUCGGUGAAAGCCGAGUAUCCUGUUUUCCGAUUAUUGGGAUACUGUUACUUUGAGAAAAUUAGAGUGUUUGAAGCAGGCUAAUUGCCUUGAAUACUGCAGCAUGGAAUAACAAUAUAGGAUUUCGGUUCUAUUUUGUUGGUUUCUAGGACUGAAAUAAUGAUUAAUAGGGACAGUUGGGGGCAUUCGUAUUUAACUGUCAGAGGUGAAAUUCUUAGAUUUGUUAAAGACGAACUACUGCGAAAGCAUUUGCCAAAGAUGUUUUCAUUAAUCAAGAACGAAAGUUAGGGGCUCGAAGACGAUCAGAUACCGUCGUAGUCUUAACCAUAAACUAUGCCGACUAGAGAUAGGAAAAUGUCAUUUUGCUGACUUCUCCUGCACCUUA
rnacentral:rRNA from 1 species